rnacentral:tRNA from 1 species
UAUAUAAUGGCAGAUUAGUGCAUUAGGUUUAAACCCUAAAAAUGAAUUAUUUCUUAUAUAA